CCAAGGUUUCCUGGGGCUUGGAAUUUUCAGGGCAAAAACUGGCAAGUUCUAAGUAAAAUGGGAUCACUUGGUCAUCCUACAGGGCCCCCACCAACAGUUCUUUACAUAAUUGUUUUUAAAACCAAGUGAAAAGAAAUUACUCUUUGUCAUUAUGUUUUAAAAACUUGUUUCAAUGCAGCUACCUUUGUUUUUGUCUUUAACAUCUAGGUAUUGCUGUAUUUUGCCAGGAAGGAGAUCUCCACAGCAACUUGAAGAUUGUGUGUGAGAGGAGGAGGAGAAGGAAGAGGAGGUGACCUAAUGUGUGUGUCUUCACCAUACUCCCUGUCUAGGGCUCCUCUAAAAUGAGUGACCACCACCCUCCCAGUGAUAUCUUCGUCUAACAGUCCAUGGAAAAGUAGGAUUGAUGGUGGACUCCGACCGGGUUGGAUGCACUCAAUGCAUACAGCCUGCUGAUGAGUGAGUGAAGGACGGCACAAGCCUGGAAGGUUGAAGAGCAGAGAGAACAAAGCACAGCAGUACACACAGCGCCUAUGUAGCCCAAAGCUUGCAGAGUGGGAAACCUUUUAUGUUUUCCUUUUUGUGAUUUCUCUCUUGGUUUUUUGGUUGGUUUGGUUUGUUUCCUUGGAGACAAUACCAUGUUUUAAAAGGCCUAGCCGGGCGUGGUAGUGCACGCCUGUAAUCCCAGCACUCGGGAGGCUGAGGCAGGAGGAUCACUGUGAGUUCCAGGCCAGCCUGGGCUGCAUAGUGAGUUCCAGUUCAGCCUGGACUACAUAGGGAGACCCUGUCUCAAAAAACCAAAAGCUAAAUAAAUAGCAAACUAAAAAUCCUAGUAGUCUUAAAACCCUGUUCAUCCUGUAGGGUUAAUGUGGUCUCUCAACUUUGUUUCCUGUGUAACUACAGAUAACUUCUGUUGUAGCCUCACAGGUCUACCUGUUGUACUAUAACAGUACUAUACAUCAAUAGUGUUAUUAUGACUUUAAUUAUAUAAAAGCCAAGUGUUUAGUCAG
rnacentral:lncRNA from 1 species